rnacentral:misc_RNA from 1 species
GUCGAUUACCACUUGAGGCCAUAGCCAGUUUCUGAAGCUGAGACAGCUUUCGAAUCCCCUCCUUAGUCGUCUACAAUGGGGCGUAUGCACAGCAGAGGAAAAGGUAUUUCGGCUUCAGCAUUGCCGUACAAGAGGACUCCACCGAGUUGGCUCAAGAUUUCUACUCAAGAUGUUGAGGAAAACAUCUGCAAAUUUGCGAAGAAGGGUUUGACUCCGUCUCAGAUCGGUGUCAUUCUUCGUGAUUCUCAUGGUAUUGCUCA